ACUCAAAGGAAUUGACGGGGGCUCACACAAGCGGUGGAGCAUGUGGCUUAAUUCGAAGCAACGCGAAGAACCUUAUCCAGGGCUUGACAUGCACGGAUUAACCCCGUGAAAGCGGGGCCACACUCGCAAGAGUGGAACGUGCACAGGUGCUGCAUGGCUGUCGUCAGCUCGUGCUGUGAAGUGUCGGGUUAAGUCCCUUAACGAGCGAAACCCCUGCCUCUAGUUGCCAUCGGGUCAUGCCGGGCACUCUAGCGGGACUGCCGGUGUCAAACCGGAGGAAGGUGGGGAUGACGUCAAGUCCUCAUGGCCUUUAUGCCCUGGGCUGCACACGUGCUACAAUGGCGCGCACAAAGCGAAGCGAGGCCGCAAGGCGGAGCAAAUCGCAGAAAACGCGCCCCAGUUCAGAUCGGGGUCUGCAACUCGACCCCGUGAAGCCGGAAUCGCUAGUAAUCGCGGAUCAGCUACGCCGCGGUGAAUAAGUUCCUGAGCCUUGUACACACCGCCCGU
rnacentral:rRNA from 1 species